CGCCUUUCACCUUAAUAACACUGAAACGUGUACACACUACUAAUAUAAGACAUCCAUCUUCCAUCACUGGAUCAAACAUAAAUCUCUAACAAAAAACCAAAGCCAAUUUAAACCUAAACAAUAUCUAUGUUAAAAUAAAUGACACCAAAGCCACUAACCUAAAGUCUCAUCUCAUAUAAUCCUUAUGAGUACAUAUUCAAUGUUAAAUAGCAUGUUAGGCUACCAAUGUAUUUGCGAAUUAAUUAUAGCACUCAUGCUUAUAGAUCCUUAUGAUAUGUCAUAACACCACAUCAACCUCAAGUGAGCCAUUGAAAAGGGAGAAAUCAAUG
rnacentral:misc_RNA from 1 species